CGUCAUGACAGCUGUACGCGGGAGGCUUUCGAGCCUACCGGGUUUGCCAUGUGCCUGGUUUUCCACCCCGUGUACAGCUGUCACCCCA
rnacentral:antisense_RNA from 2 species